AUGAAGAAAUAUUACUGUUUUUGAAAACAUACCUAAGUGGAUUGAUUCUACCUUCUUUUUUAUGUUGUGGCCUUGGAUUGUUCCUCCAAGUUUCACCUAUGUAGAAAUUCUAGAGCUGAGUCCAGUUCUCAAAAGGUCAUCUGGAUGAGAAUGAAAGCAACAGAGAUAUUGUGUUUUUUAUAAAUUGAAGGUUUGUGGCAACCUUACAUUGAGCAAGUCAAUCGGCACCAUUUUACCAUCCAGCGCAGAUGGUGGAAAUAUUUUU